rnacentral:rRNA from 1 species
CUAUACCUACGGGGGGCAGCAGUAGGGAAUCUUCCACAAUGGGCGAAAGCCUGAUGGAGCAACGCCGCGUGGGUGAAGAAGGUCUUCGGAUCGUAAAACCCUGUUGUUAGAGAAGAAAGUGCGUGAGAGUAACUGUUCACGUUUCGACGGUAUCUAACCAGAAAGCCACGGCUAACUACGUGCCAGCAGCCGCGGUAAUACGUAGGUGGCAAGCGUUAUCCGGAUUUAUUGGGCGUAAAGGGAACGCAGGCGGGCUUUUAAGUCUGAUGUGAAAGCCUUCUGCUUAACCGGAGUAGUGCAUUGGG